AAGACGAGGAAGCUUAGCGGCGGACGGGUGAGUAACGCGUGAGUAACCUGCCCAUAAGAGGGGGAUAACACAUUGAAAAGUGUGCUAAUACCGCAUAUUGAGCGAUGACCGCAUGGUCGAUGCUUGAAAGAUUUAUCGCUUAUGGAUGGACUCGCGUCUGAUCAGCUGGUUGGCGGGGUAACGGCCCACCAAGGCGACGAUCAGUAGCCGAACUGAGAGGUUGAUCGGCCACAUUGGGACUGAGACACGGCCCAGACUCC
rnacentral:rRNA from 1 species